rfam:Lachnospiraceae bacterium 28-4 genomic scaffold acPFn-supercont1.2, whole genome shotgun sequence.
UUGCGCAGGGAAAUGAGAUUUUCUUAAUAUUCCGUAUAUAAACAGCAAUUUGGUGACACGGAUGUCACCAAAAGCCAGCUAUGAGCCCGGACGGCGAAUUGCUGGCGGUUGCGUCCGGCCGACACCGCCUGGCCGGAAUAUUUAGAAAAUCCAUUUCCCGCAGCCA